rnacentral:rRNA from 1 species
GGAUAAGCGGAGGAAAUUCGUUCUAAUACCGCGUAAUAACUCCGAGAGGCAUCUCCUGGGGUUUAAAGGGUAACACCGGCUACGGAUGGCCAUGCGGCGCAUUAGCUAGUUGGCGGGGUAACGGCCCACCAAGGCGACGAUGCGUAGGGGUUCUGAGAGGAAGGUCCCCCACACUGGUACUGAGACACGGACCAGACUCCUACGGGAGGCAGCAGUGAGGAAUAUUGGUCAAUGGGCGCGAGCCUGAACCAGCCAAGUCGCGUGAGGGAAGACGGUCCUAUGGAUUGUAAACCUCUUUUGUCGGGGAGCAAAAGACGCCACGCGUGGCGUUCCGAGAGUACCCGAAGAAAAAGCAUCGGCUAACUCCGUGCCAGCAGCCGCGGUAAUACGGAGGAUGCGAGCGUUAUCCGGAUUUAUUGGGUUUAAAGGGUGCGCAGGCGGAAGAUCAAGUCAGCGGUAAAAUUGAGAGGCUCAACCUCUUCGAGCCGUUGAAACUGGUUUUCUUGAGUGAGCGAGAAGUAUGCGGAAUGCGUGGUGUAGCGGUGAAAUGCAUAGAUAUCACGCAGAACUCCGAUUGCGAAGGCAGCAUACCGGCGCUCAACUGACGCUCAUGCACGAAAGCGUGGGUAUCGAACAGGAUUAGAUACCCUGGUAGUCCACACAGUAAACG